AGGCAUGGAGUUGGUGCUGGCUGCUAUAAGCCACUCCUAAUGACCAAGAAAUGGAAAUCAAACCUUCAGUGGACUUCAGAAAUGCACAUUCCCCCUCCCCUCCCUGAGCACUGCUUAAUAUGCAGCUGCACUAUAAUGUUUCUUGUUAGGCAGACAGCUUCAAAUUAGAAUUGCGGGAGAAGUGAUUGAUGACCUGGGCUCCCACAGCCCUUUCAAUGAAAUAUAUUCCAUUUCCAUUUCAAAUAUGUUUAUUAUGAAUUAUUGGUUUGUCAUUGGACCUGAUGAAAGUAAAUUUACACGAGCAACUCAGACCUCUGCAAGGGGAAACACUUUAAUCAGGCAAAGCUUUACCCUAUUUGUGCAAAAGGAUGAAAAAGCACCUGAAUAUCAGAACCUGUGACCCCUCCUGCCAUGCACUGAGGGAUAGUGCCAGACAAAGAGAGAGCAGGGCCCAAAACACAGAUAUUCCUUUCCUCAUUCUGUCACAGGAAGAAUGGGGAAUUUCUCCCAAGGGAAAAGACUCAAACAUCCACAACACCACCAGCUUCAUUUUCAUC